UGGACCAGACUUUGAUCAUGGCUCAGGAUAAACGCUGGCGGCGCACAUAAGACAUGCAAGUCGAACGGACUUAACUCAUUCUUUUAGAUUGAGAGCGGUUAGUGGCGGACUGGUGAGUAACACGUAAGCAACCUGCCUAUCAGAGGGGAAUAACAGUGAGAAAUCAUUGCUAAUACCGCAUAAGCUAGUAGUAUCGCAUGAUAUAGCUAGAAAAGGAGCAAUCCGCUGAUAGAUGGGCUUGCGUCUGAUUAGCUAGUUGGUGGGGUAACGGCCUACCAAGGCGACGAUCAGUAGCCGGACUGAGAGGUUGAACGGCCACAUUGGGACUGAGAUACGGCCCAGACUCCUACGGGAGGCAGCAGUCGGGAAUAUUGCGCAAUGGAGGAAACUCUGACGCAGUGACGCCGCGUAUAGGAAGAAGGUUUUCGGAUUGUAAACUAUUGUCGUGAGGGAAGAAAUUGACAGUACCUCAGGAGGAAGCUCCGGCUAACUAUGUGCCAGCAGCCGCGGUAAUACAUAGGGAGCAAGCGUUAUCCGGAUUUAUUGGGUGUAGAGGGUGCGUAGACGGGAAAUUAAGUUAGUUGUGAAAUCCCUCGGCUUAACUGAGGAACUGCAACUAAAACUGGUUUUCUUGAGUACUGGAGAGGAAAGUGGAAUUCCUAGUGUAGCGGUGAAAUGCGUAGAUAUUAGGAGGAACACCAGUGGCGAAGGCGACUUUCUGGACAGUAACUGACGUUGAGGCACGAAAGUGUGGGGAGCAAACAGGAUUAGAUACCCUGGUAGUCCACACUGUAAACGAUGGAUACUAGGUGUAGGAUGUAUUAAGCAUUCUGUGCCGCCGCUAACGCAUUAAGUAUCCCACCUGGGGAGUACGACCGCAAGGUUGCAACUCAAAUGAAUUGACGGA
rnacentral:rRNA from 1 species